GUGCCAGCAGCCGCGGUAAUACAGGGGGUGCAAGCGUUGUCCGGAAUGAUUGGGCGUAAAGCAUCUGUAGGUGGUUCUUAAAGUCAACUGUUAAAUCCCAGAGCUCAACUUUGGACAAGCAGUUGAGUACUUAGGGACUUGAGUACGGUAGGGGUAGAGGGAAUUCCUAGUGAAGCGGUGAAAUGCACAGAGAUUAGGAAGAACACCAGUGGCGAAAGCGCUCUACUGGGCCGUGACUGACACUGAGAGAUGAAAGUUAGGGGAGCGAAAAGGAUUAGAUACCCUUGUAGUCC
rnacentral:rRNA from 1 species